UUUAUUUUUUCCUUAGAAAUGUUUAAUCAAUUUGUUGGUCAAGUGAUUCUAUGUAUGCCUAUGAAAUUUCACAAUCUAUCUUCUGUAUUAGUUUAUUAGUCUUUACUGCACUUUAUUUUUUAAUUUUAUUAACUCAUGUCUCUUUGGAGUUGUCAUUUAUAACUUUUAUACUUGCUCGUAAAUUUCUCCAUGGCUUUCAAUUUUCAUUUUUGUUUCAUUUAUUUAUAGCGUCUAUUGACGUUCAUAUUUUUAUAAAUGCAUUCUCGAUUGUGUUGCUCCAAUAUUAUUUAUGUAGAUAUUACUUUUUAUUUUCUAUGUUAUCACUUUGAUGGUCUUCAAAUUUGCAGUGCUGGACUUCACCAUGCAGCUUGUGGAGACAGGAGUAGAAAAUGAUGUUAUCCUGGCUCUUGUUGUUUUCUCGGUGCAGUAUGUUUUAGUUAAUCACGAGUAUUGGAAAUACAAGGUGAAGCAUGUUCACUGGAAGGUGACGCUGAAGGUAUCUUGGCUGCUUUCAUAAAUUAUUUUAGUACCUAUAUAAUUUACCUUGGUGUAGCUGUCAUGAACACAGAGACAGUUACAAUAUAUCAGAGAUUAUCAUAAUUUUAAUAUCUUUUCUGACAUUCAGAGAGGUUGGAACAAAGAAUCAUGAAUGUACUUUAGAAACAAAGUUAGCAGCAGUGGCUAAUUGUUGGAUAGUGUGGUCAAAGUUUACUCAUUCAGAAGGGUCAAAGUAAUUAUAGUUUAACAUUCGGAUAUUAAUGAACAAGUUAGACCUUUUUCAGAAUUAAUUAAUUAAUUAGGGUAAUAAGUCUCAUAGUGUUUUUGUUAACAACAAUGUUAUUCUUGUUUCUUCUACAAUCGAUUCACAUCUUUAUAGUUUCCGUAUGUAAAUUUAAAACUUUUUCUUGUUUAUGAAAAUAAUUAAAUGAAGUUUCUUUGCCUUAUUUACAUCUGUCUAUGAGAGUACUCGGAAUGCUCCUGCUUUACCCUUUUAUAGUAUAAGAACUUUAGGAGUUCCAAUGAAAUUCCACUUGGCCUUCUUUCGUUAAUCUCUCUCUUGCUGACAUGAAUGCACCAUGUAUUGACUUUCUUGGCUCUCUUUGACACCUUGCUAUUGAGUUUAAUCCUACUUCCAGAUGUUGUGAAUUCACAAGCAUAGGAGUAGGAACUCGUAGCUCAGAGAAAUAGAAAGUCACUAGCAUUGCUAACAAGGCUUCGGCGAACAAGCGGUAGGGAAACUUAUAGAAAGGGAGACUGCUCAAUGAGAACAAAGAAGUAAGAGCAUUGGCUCAGAGAGCUCAUAGCGCUCAUUCUUCAUCGAAUCAUAUAGAUGAUCUAGCAAUGUUGGAAUUUAUAUUCUGUUUACUGAAUCACAUGAAAUUUAACCCAACUCCAUAUGUCGAAAGGGCGACGUCAAGCUCUUACCCAGGCAAAAAACAAAAAACUCCAACCCUGGAGUAACUUCCCUUCCAGAGUGUUAACUCACAUAUGCUUUUGUUUACUUGUGUGCCCGAACCAGUUCAGUAUUCUUAUACGUGUAAGACUAAAAUACUGGGAAAACCUCUGCAAGCGGUAACUCGUAGAAAAUUAUGGUAAUUAUGGUGUAUAUGUUAUACUUUGCAUGUAUGCAUACUUUUACCUAUUUUUUCUUUUUUUGGCAUGGUAGUGAGUGCAUAUAAAUUCCUUACAAAUAUUUUUAACCUUUUUCAGUCGAAUUAAUAUGUUGGCUUUAAGCACUGUCUUUGCUUAUAGAGGUGUUCGUUGUCAACUAAUGUGGUUGAGCUUUGUCUAUCAGAAAAAUGGAAGGCAAUUGAGUCUUAGUAGAAGUUGUUUGUACUGGUGGGCAAUUACUACUAAAUAUCUGAGUCAGGUCAUGGUCGUAAGUUGUAGGCACAAUAAUUUUAGAUUUUUUCUCUGACAAACAGGUUGCAUUGUAUUUAGCUUCUCUGGUUGCUUGGCUAAUUAUCAGGCUUGGUGGGGGCUGAAUACAGUCAGACAUUGAGUAGUUGUUGCACCGCCAUUAUGACUUGUUCUUUUCCAAUGUUUAAUCUUUUGAUUUUGUGAGGUUGAUUAUAUAAAAUGGAUGAGAAAAUGUUGCUAUUCUAAAAUGAACAAUUCAUUUAUUGCUAUAGGUGCUUGAAUUGAUAAAGAAAUGCACUUUGUCAAUUCAAUACUCUAGGAAACUGGGUAAAGUGGUCCGGGAUAUAUUACAUUUUGAUUCUUCCGUUCACAGUACCCUCUUUCGAAUUGUUUGUACAACAACAGAGGCCUUGGAGGUCAGCCGCUAUCUUUAUUAAUUUCAUUAUGAUCUACCUAUUCCUUUUAUUUUGGAUAAGAGAUAUAUGUGGUUGAUCAAUGAUGCAUGAUCCUUGUUACGUAUUAAAUUCUUCUAAUAUUUGGCAGAAACAUUAUGUUAGCCGCCUUUAUGAGCUGAUGGAAAUUGAAGGAUUAGAGUUGGCAGUAUGUUCUGUGUUGGAUAUUCUUUUCAGCAUGCUGUCCGAUCUGUCGAAGGUAUGCUUUCUAAGGUUUAGAUUUUUCAAAUACAAUCCUUUCGAAGUUGGAAGGAUUUCUAAAAUUGCAGUACUUAAAGUACACGCAUCUGGUUUAGUGAAAAGAGAAAUCUUUUUUUUAAAUGCUUGUCUUCUCAUGUCUGUUAGUCUUGCACUAUUAUGGGACAGUUUAUCAUCGAUCCUUGCAAAUUGCCUACGUUUAUCUUUGAGUGAAUAUGUGUAUUACUUGUUUGCAAAUCAAGAAUUGUACAUGUCUCUAUUUUUUUGGGUGUGUGUGAGUGUUUGAGGCUGUCGUUUACUUGUGAUACAUAUUGUAUAAAUGUGCUGUGAACUUUAUUUACAUUGAUGGUUUGGUACAGAAUGUAAUAUUAAGUAGUGCUAUAUUUUCAGCAUAUGUUGCCCGGCUUUCCGGUCUUUUACCAAGCAGUGCUGUCGUCCACAACCAAACCUAUUCCUGUUUCUACUGCAGUGAUGUCCUUGAUAUCAUACUUCCGGAAUCCUGUAAGGAGUUCAAUUGGCGUUUAGUGAUUAUAUUCAGUUUUCUGAGUAGUUACUUCUCUUUUCAUUGAUACAAAGGCUAUUUUUAGUGCUCACAUCUUUCCCAAUAUAAUAUUUGUCAUAUAUGAAUCUAAAUUCUACAGAUUUUCAUGACUUUAAUAUUUGGUCAUUUUCUGUUAUGCUUCAUUCCUUUAUCAAGUUGCAUCCAUGCUGUCAAUUAAUUUUUUGCCUCACAUUGAUUAUGCUCUUGCAUUAUAUCAACAUUCUUUCGUCUUGCAGUAUUUUUUUUAAAUUCUCAUUGAGAACAAGUGACAUUUUUUUAAUUGAGAAUAAUAGUGAAGAUCUUAUAGACGUGGUGGAAAUUCAUGCCAUCUCUACAUAGAGGUUUAAUUUUUGUUCAGAGCUUUUCCAGAAGGUGGCGAAUUGGACUUUGUUUCUGUGUGUUUGUGGGAAGUAGAGCACUUUUGCAUAUGAUGAUCCCUCGAGUCCCCCAUUUCUAAAAUAUAUAAUACCCAUUUUAUGUUAGAUGCUUCAAAUAGUGUACUGGUAUGCAGAUUGCUCAAAUCAGCUUGGCUGUACUACUCAAAAUAUACUUAGUAACAUAUUAUUGGUAUAUCUAUUCAUCCAUAAAUUAUAAUGUGUGAUGAUACUUUGAAAAUCAUCACAUCUUAUGAUUAUCAACACGUUUAUUUAUUAUUAUUAUUAUUAUUAUUUUUUUUUUUUNNNNNNNNNNNNNNNNNNNNNNNNNNNNNNNNNNNNNNNNNNNNNNNNNNNNNNNNNNNNNNNNNNNNNNNNNNNNNNNNNNNNNNNNNNNNNNNNNNNNUGAGUUCAUUCUAAUGGAUUUUGAGUUCUCGAUUCAGGGGAUUCAAGUGGGUGCUAUUAGAGUGUUGUCUAUGCUAUUCGUUAUAGCAGAUUAUUCACAACCUUAUAUGUCUGGGAACACAUGCUUUGGAUUGGGUGAUAAGCAGGUUCCAUAUUGUUUUAUAAGCUUAUUCUUAAAACCAGUAGCUCAUAACUCAUAAGUUGAACCAGUUGGGUCAAGAAUUCUUGUUUUUGAUUUGAAUGCAUACUUGGCAGAUAGUAGAUUUCAGAAAUGGUGUUGAUAGCAUCCUUCGUGAGCAAUCACUAUGUAAUGAAGAUCUUGUUGUUACUACAUUCAAAAUGCUGACUUCUGCAGCAAAUUACCAGGUUUGUUGUCUCUCCUGUCUUUCACUGUAUCCAUGAAUUUGAUUUGUCUAUUAUGUAUGACUGAAGUAAAAUUUUCUGUAAUUAGUUCUUAUUUUCUUUAAGUUUGAUUUUGAAAAACUCCUAUGGAUGUUUCUUUGAUUUCUGCAAUUAUUAUUAUCUUUUAAGAAUUAUUGGUCAGAGAAUCACUUGUUCAUCACAUAAUGAAAUGUGGAACGCCAUAUUUUGCUAAUUGAAACCAUAAUCUGUUUUUAUAUGUGCUUAUACUAUCACAGCCUCAAUAUGAUUGUUAAGGCAUGCUCUAUUGCUUUGUUCAGCCUGUAAGUUCGAAGACAACUAUGUGUAAGCCUUGAAAAUUAUGGCAUAAGCAGAGUACAAUAGCCGUGUACUAUAUAACCCUACCGUCGUGUUUUAUUCUCAGCUCAUUUGGAGUGCAAUGACUGUGUUUUACUUUUCUGAAGAACUCACUGUAUUGUUUUUAUCAUUUGUAAUAUUCAUAAUUUGUCAUUAUUUUUGCUCUUCAAAUCAUUGUCUCAAUAUAAAGUCAUCUGUUUCCAGCCAGCUUUUCUUGUUGCUGUAAUUGCUUACAAAGAGAAUACAUUGGCCCAAUUGAGUGAGGCCAAUGGUGUGAAGGCACCGAAGGAAACAAAUCUAGUAGGUACAGUUCUGGAAUACGUUGGAAGAUCAAAUGAUCUGAUCAAGAGGUACACUUAUAUAAAUACCAUGCCCAAUUCGGAGUAUCUUCAAUUUUGUGUACAAUGCUUCUAAUUGCUUUAUUUACGAGAGUCCUGAGUCUCACUCUCUGAUUAACACAAGCUUUUUUUUGUUACCAGCAAUCCUAAAAUACUGUUCAAUGUGUUAAACUUCCUGAAGGCAUUGUGGCAAGGAGCUGCUCAGUUUACAGAUGUUUUGGAACAGGUGAAAAACUCUGAAAAUUUCUGGAAACGAUUGUCCGCUUCUAUGAUAUUAAUUGGCAGUAAGCAAGAUAUGCCGUCCAAAAAUAUGAAUGAACCGGAGGUUCUAAGCUCAACAUACCGAUAUCAUUGUCAGUCUAAUGUACUGGAAAUAAUGGCUUAUGAGCUGUUCCUGCAAAAGAAGUUACUACAUGCUGGGCAAACAUCUGAAUUAUUGAAUGAUAGGAUAAAUAAUGCUGUUGGUAGGGGAAAAACAAAAGAAGACAGUGCACCCUGUCUGAAAGAUGUUUUGUCAUCCUGGUGUGAGAAUUCAGUAAUGGGCACUCUGAUCAAGACUUACACUUCAUGUGAAUUUGACAAUCACAAAUAUCUCCAUUCAAAGGUGAACAUUUUUAUCUGCUUUCCUUCUUCUUUCUCUUUGGUAUUUUUUUUCAUAGACGCUAACUAGGGUCAGCUAUGUUUUUCAAGUAUUACUCGAGGAAUACUGAUUGUUGAUUAAACCUCCAUCUUAAACUCUUCAAACCAUAAUUUCAAUAUUUAUAUUUGUUUAUAGGCUCAUUUGAAACUCUAACAUUAGACCUAAGCUAAUAUACUUUAUUGUCCAAUAAAAUAAGUUCUUUAUAUGUUUAAAUAUAAAAAUAUUGUGUUUUGCAUGUCUUUCUGUAUCUUACGAUACAAUACGAUUCACGAUAUGAUACACGACUCACGAUUCCGGGGUGUUCGAUACUUGAUACAUAAUUUCACAAUUUAACAACUAUUUAACUGCCAUCUUCAGUUUAAAUGAUAGUUUUGUAGAAUGAAAUUAUGGCCAUGUGGUUUUCCAUGAUAAAUGGAUUUAGCUACAGCCUACAAGUGUCUGCUACCAGUAUGUCUCUAAACAUUGGAUUCAUCUUCAACCAAAUAUGAUGUCAUGGUGACACAUAUCUUCAUUUAAUCUAAAGUUUAUAAUGGUGUUCUAUUUAUCAUUAAAUUAAAAUUAACUCAAUAAAGCAACAAUUGAAGGAAGAUAUCAAGAUAACUUUAUGGACGAUAACUUAGUAAAUUGUCAUUUUUGAGAAUGUUUCCAAGGUCAUCUAUCUAAUUGUACAUUUCAGAUAAAUUUUUACAACCAUGUGCUAAGCAUACAAUAUGCUAACUCACACAUUUAGAAGAGUCAAUGUGAGAUAAAAAAUUUAUUUGGUUAUAGUAUAUGAUAUUAUACAAGGCGUUGUUGCACAUAAUAUAUUUUGUUACAAACAUAACCACAUCAACACCUUAUUGUUAAGUUAAAAGUGCAAUUAUUUAGCUUUUUCUUCCAAACUAACAACUCAUGGUGACAUGUACUGAACGUCUGCUACCCGUUCAUAUUGUUUUCUGCCAAAAUAAAUCGAAGAGAACAAUAAUGACCUGACCCCAAUGGCUUGUUUAAGAGAUAUGAAGCCUUCAGAUGACAUUAUUGUAUCAAACAGCUACUUAUGAGUUGCUGGAAGUGCAAGGGUUAUGUGGAUUUUCCCACCAGAAGGGAGUUAUGUGCAAGGCGCUAAAUUUCAUUAAAGCGACGUGGAAUCUAAAUUUUGGCAUUGAUUUUGCCAUUAAAUCUGUUGACAAUUGCACUUCAACAGAACUAUAAGGUGCUUAUCCAAUGGAUUUUGUAUCACAAGGGUUAUAUGCUAACUAUGCCUAAACCUGCAAAUAUGUAAUUUGCCCUUAUUUUCUUUUGGAUAAUCAAAUUUAAUAGGAUCAAAAAUUAUUUUGUUAUAAUUAUCACAUUAAUAAUAAUUAGUACUAUGUACCUGAGGAAAUAAAUAUAUUCUUUACAAAGGUUCUUGUAAAUUGUAUGCUACUUUUUACUGGAUACCAAUUCAAUGCACCUGAGUCCUGGCAUUUGUUUAUUUAUCGAAAGUUGUGAUUAGUACUCAAAAUUAUGCGCUGACUGCUGAUGAUGGAUUCUGCAGAUCACUGCUGGUUUAUUCUCUGUGCAUGUGAUGGGGAAACUAAGAAGUGGUGAUAUGGGAAGUUUGUCUGUAUUUUUAAUUGAUAAGCUUAAUAAAUUAUUCAAAAAGGUUUGCAAUCCUGUCUUUUAACUUCAGUUUGAUUGUUUGAAGUUAGUUACUUUCAAAGUUUCAAUUUAUUUUUGUAUAAUCUUUAUUGCAUCGUUAUAUUUAUCUUAUUCCCCUUAUUUCCCUCUUCUCUCGAGGCCACUUCUGAACUAACUGAGCGCACUGUAUUUCCCAUUAACAGUUAGGUAACCUGCCUGCAUAUUCUGAACUCUCAUCUCAGUACACACAGCGUGGUUACAGGUAUUGUGGAUAUAGAGUUUCUUACUUGAAUCUUUAUUUAAGACUUACGAGAGAAUAUCAAGAGUCAGGAUUCAUGCUUUCACCAUUCUCAUAGUCUUGCUGUCUAGGCAUGUGGUCUGUUAUAUCAGAACCACCUUUAAAGUUUUGGACCAAUCAGUUGAUCUUCACAUGAACUUGCCAAAACAUUUUUUGAUCUCUUCUUUGGAAUGUUUCAUUUUAAAUGUAAAACUUUUGCCAUACCAGAUUCAUAUAGGCAGUGCCAAUAGCUAUGAUUUUCUCUAAAUCUGUAAGGGUGUCCCAAUAGCAAUAAUCUUUAUUUGACUCUAUAGUCUAUAACUGAUUGUAUCAGCAAGAAGCAUUUAUAAAAUGAACCCACCAUGUCUUUUCUACGUUAUUGCUUUUUGUGAAAAAUCAAUUGUUUACAUGUUUCGUAACAGAUUCUAUCAGCACUAUGUAGCAUAUAUAAAAUGGACACACCUUGUCUUUUCUGGAAUUCGAUGUUCUAUUGUCAUUUAACAUCCUUAUGUUUUGCACUCCAUUGUCUUUGAAUAUGGUCUAUAAAUUAUUACUUGGUGUUUUCUUUUUGAUUCAGUGAAGGAAAGGAGCUUAACAGUUUGAUACUCAGUGAUCUAUAUUACCAUCUGCAAGGAGAGCUUGAAGGUCGUCUGAUUGACCAUAGACCAUUCAAGGAGCUCUCCCAGUGUCUUCUAGAAUCAAAUUUCUUGCAAAUGUAUCAGAAGAAGUAUGAUAGGGACCUUGUAAGUGAAGCAGAGGAUGUGUACUUUUUUGACUGCAAUCGUCUACGAGCAGAUUUAGGAUUAGAUAUGUGGGAAUUUUCAGAUUGGAAAGCAUCCAAAGAAGUUGCAGAAACAAUGUUGCUUCACUUGCUGGACGUGAAUUCCAUGCUGUUGUUUGGGAAUUCCAAGCAAUCAGCUUUAGAAGCUUUGACUACCAUUCUAUCCUUGUUUGAUGAAGAUGUGAGUACUCAGGAUUCUGAAUGUUGUUCCUACCACUCAUGUUUAAGUCUGACGUUUACAUUCAAGUAUAAGUGUCAAGUUGGGAUUUGAAUCUUGGUGUCAAAUGUAUAAGAUCACAGAAUUGAAGCACCAAGGCUGAACAUCGAAUUCCUUUUUCAUUUUUUAGCACACAUACAUGGGGUCAAAUUAUAGGAAGUUAGAAAUACCAAUAUAUUAUGAAUUUCAAUCAGGCUCUGGGUGGUGGAUAAUUACUUAGACAUGUUGAAGAAUCGAUUUUUCUGUAGCCUUGUCAGAUGUCUUAUAAAGGGUAGAAGACUCCAUAUUGCAUUAUCUAGAUCUAUGAAAUCUACAACCAAUUCCAGAUCAAUAAAUAUAUAGAAGUAAAAAUGACCACUCAGUCAUUGAGUUUUUUUCUUUUCCUUUCUUUCGGUUGAGGGGAGGGGGGAAGUUCCAUGGGUAAUAUUUUUAUAACUCAACUCAAUCGUGUUUCAAAAUAUCACAAAAGUAUGUUGUGAAUAUUUCAUGGGUUUUAUGUUAGAAUCUCUACAGUUUGGAUUAUAUUUGCCAGUAUUUUAACUUGGACAGUUAGAUAUAACAUGUAAAUUAACUUAAAGUUUGGCAUCUCAUGCAGUCACCUGAGAAGAAGGCUUCAAUUCCUGUGAAGAUUCCCGAGCAACUAAUUUUAUCUUCUGUAGAACACAUAUGUCAGUGUCUUCAUGCAACUGUAGACUCUUUAUCUCCAGUUCCUGAUAAUAGUGAAGAUAUCCUUGUUUACCUCGUCGCCCAAGCAGAAUUACUUCUCCAUCUUAUUAGAUCUAUAAACAAAAGACUGUCUCUACCGGUUUGUCUACUCAUUCUAAAAUCCUCAGGUUCUGGCCUUAAAGUGUUGAGUGACUUCAAGCAGUCAGUUAGCGGUGUUAGAGCAGCAAUAAAGGUUUUACUUGUUUUGCUUCUCUUGUCAGUGGAGUUGAGUUGCACAAGUUCGCAAUCAAUCGAAGUGACUGAGAUGAAAUCUGUUGAAGCCUAUGCUGAUGCAUCUAAUGUGAGUUUGGGGCUAUUGCCUGUUCUUUGCAACUGUAUGGAACCUGCAGAUCAUUGUACCCUUUCACUGACUACAAUGGACUUGAUACUAAAAAGUUUUUUGACACCUAACACAUGGUUUCCCAUCAUACAGAAACAUCUGCAGUUGCAGCGUGUAGUUCAUAAUCUUCAAGAUAAGAUGUCUUUUAUUUCUAUUCCCAUAAUACUGAAGUUCCUUUUGUCACUUGCACGUGUGAGAGGAGGUGCUGAGAUGCUUCUUAAUGCUGGUUUUUUUGCGUCUCUUAAAGUAUUGUUUGCUGAUAUAUCAGAUGGUAGUUCUCCCUCUUUAAUUCAAAAAGAUAGGUCUCUCUCCAACUCUGAAAAAGUAAAGAAGCCUCAGCACAUUUGGGGACUUGGCUUGGCUGUGGUCACAGCAAUUAUUCAAUCUUUAGGAGACGGCUCUUCCUGUAGGAAUUUUGUGGACUAUGUCAUGGAUUACUUAUUUUUGGAGAAAUCUUAUAUGAUAUUUUAUUAUCUUAAUGCGCCAGAUCUUCCAUCAGAUUGUCAUGAGAAGAAAAGACCCCGUGCUCAGAAAACACAAACUACUUUAAGUGCUCUGAAAGAGACGGAGCAUACCCUUGUACUCGUCUGUGUGUUAUCGAAACAUCGGAAUUCCUGGAUUAAGGCCACAAAAGAAAUGGAUUCACCGUUGAGGGAGAAAUGUAUCCAUUUAUUAGCCUUUAUUAGCCGAGGAACUCAACGCCUGGGAGAAUCUCCCAGCAGGGUUGCACCUCUAUUUUGUCAUCCUGUACUCAAAGAGGAGUUCGAGUGGUACAAGAAGCCAUCAUUUGUCAAUAGUAGAAAUGGCUGGUUUGCUCUUUCUCCUCUUGGUUGUGGAUUAGAUCCUAGGUUUUCUAAUGUAUCGUCUAGAACGGGUCUUGCAAUCAAGGAUCGAGCAAUUGAAAACAUUAAUCUGGCUCAGACAUAUUUCUCGGACUUUGCAGCUAUACAGAUAUAUAGAAUUGCAUUUCUUCUUUUGAAAUUCUUGUGUCUACAAACUGAAGGUGCUGCUAAAAGGGCCGAGGAGGUGGGAUUUGUUGAUGUUGCUCAUUUCCCUGAGCUUCCAGUGCCUGAUAUCUUACAUGGCUUACAGGUAAGACACUUUCACUAGUUCCAUCUGUUUGUCACAGUAUUGACUUGAGACUUUAAACUAAUAAGGGAUGCAAGAUAUUUUUAUACCCACAUUUAAUCGAAAUUAAAGAUAAAAUGGAAGAUGGGAAGUUUUCUACAAAGAUAUUUAGAUUUAAACUGCAUAAAUUAUGAAUCGGAUGCAGGAUCAAGGGAUUGGUAUUGUUCACGAGUUGUGCGAGGCCAAGAAAUCGAAGCAGGUUCCUUCUGAAAUACAGAGUGUAUGUAUUAUACUGCUACAAAUAACAGAAAUGGCAUUGUACUUGGAAUUCUGCGUGUCACAAAUUUGUGGAAUAAGACCUGUUUUGGGGCGCGUUGAAGAUUUCGCCAAGGAAAUGAGAUUGUUGAUUAGUGGUAGGCAUUGCUUACUUAAUGCCAUACAAAUCUCUGUUCUCAAUUUUAAAAGUGUUUUUGUUGCUUAAUUUUUGCAGCGACGGAGGGACAAGUUUUUCUGAAGGAGUCGGUGAAGUCGUUGAAACAAAUAAUAUCAUUUGUAUAUCCUGCCUUGUUACGUACUGAAGGCUUCUUGUGAGAUGCUGCUAUUAAUCUGGAUUUUGCCCAACCUGAAAAUGUAAAUGUGUAAGAUUCAUUUGUAAUUCUAAGGCUAUUACGUUUCCUUCCAGAGUUGUGAAACUUUUUACAUAUAAUUAUUCAAAAUUUAAAACAAUAUGUGUAGUUGUGUUAGUUAUAAUGAUUGAACACAUCCAUAUAUGAUAUGAUGGAAGGUGAGAAUGGAAUUAAUAGAUGAAAAAAAUUGUGUUUGUUUCCUCAUGAAAUAACUCAUUUCUAUUCCUAAAAUUCAAACGUAGCAUUAGUAUUUAUUAUAUUAUUUUUGGUACGUUAUAUUUGAUCCCUACAUUAUAUUUGUAAGUUGUAUUUAAAAUAAAUUAUUUUCUCUGUCUCAUAUUGAACGUCCUAAUUUUUUUUUUAUGAUGUCUCAUAAUAAAUUACUUAUUCCUAUAUUUAUAAUUAAUUUUAUCUUAUUUUUUCUAUUAUACCUUCAUAAUUUUUUUACUCAAUUUUUGUUGGAAAUUGAAGAAAUGAUAUAAUACCACUUUUCGUCUCAUUCUAGAUUCUUUUUCUUUAUGUAUUCUAACUUUUAAUACUUAUUAUGAAUGUUUGAAUAACAAAAAGAAUGAUCUAGAGAACUAAUUAAUAUAAAAAUAAGUAAUACUUUAUAAAAAAAUAAAGAAAUACUUCAAUUAAUAAAUAAUUUAAAAAAAUUAAUAAAAAAUAUAUAUUAUUAAUCAACGUAUUAAAACUAAUUAACGCUAAUUUUGAGACAAAAAUUAAUUAGAGCAUUUAUUCAAGAUGGGAUGGAAGGAGACAUGAACUGUAGGGGUUAGCAUGGUGCGAUUUGACAAAUUUAAAACAGUACAUGAAAUUGCUUGUGAUUGGUGUGGUGCAGUUUUGACUCGUGCGAUGCGGUUUGGGUUCCAAAAUCAAUUGAAACAACAAAAUUUUAUGCAAUUUAAAUUAAUAAUUUAACAUUACACAAUAUUAAAAUUGUAAAAGAGAUCAAAACAAAGACAUCGGAGUUUUUAUCCCUCGUUCUACACAUCCAAAAAGAAAAAACAAACAGCAAGGAACAUCGAGUUGUAGCAGCACGCAGAUAACUCAAAAGGGCUGCCUCAUGAUUUGUCCAAUUCUAAUAACUUCAAUUCUUUUAACCAUAAAAGAUAUUGAAUCCAAAUAAUUAAAUAUAUAUAUAUAUAUAAUUUAUGAAGUAUAUAUACAUAUAUAUGUUCAAGCAGUGUGUAAUUCAAUAAUUUUGGGAUAAUUGUAUGAGAUUUGUAUGGUGAUGGUGAUCAUGUAGAUCGAUACCAUCCAAAUUUCUAAUUAGUAGCUUAAUUUUUAUGAAAGGUUCAUUGCAUAAGGUUAAUUGAAAUAUUUCUCCCGUAAUAGGAUUAUAUAAUUAAUUAAUUUUCAUGGUGCAGUUUGGUUUCGAUUUUAUGCAUGCGAUUUUGUUAGUAACCAAACCGAAACCGUAAAAUUGAUUUUUUAAUUCAUCUAAAACCGCCACAUAUGCCGAAACCGUUGGUACGGUUUCGGUUCCUAUUUAAUUAAUUGCUCAACCUUAAUAGGGAGUAUCAAAAAAUCAUUUUGCUCAAAAUAAAAGUAAAAAGGAAGGUGGGGGCUAGUUGCACCCCUCAUUUUCUCAUUCACACCCCAUAGUUAAAAAACCAUAUUAAAAAUCAUAUGAUUUUGAGUACAUCUCUUUUUCAUAUUUUUUCAAAAAAAAGUUAAAGACAACCCAAACACAAUAAACCUACAAAACAGAGCAAAAAUCCUUUACAUGAACUGAGGAUUAAGUUUUUACAUGAACUGGACAUUAAAGUCUAAGUAUUCAACAAUAAAAGUAAACUAAAUAACUAAGAACUAAAUACUUGCAUCAAUCGAUGAACUCAACAGUCGCUGUUUAGCAAUUGGUGAAAGAGGUCAGCAUCUUGAACUUCUCCAUCUCUUCGUCGAUGAAGUCUCCAUAGUCUAGAUCGACCUAGUAAUUUUGGUCGUCCAUUGUUACAAUGUGGUGGUAGUGGAGGAGAGAGAGGAAACAAAAAGCAAGAGAGAAGAAUAGUGAGAAAGUAGGGAGUUGAGCAAAUGUUCGCGCCAUAAAAUGUUUAUUAACCUAGAUUUUUUUAAUGAAUUAUAGGGUGUGAUUGAGAAAGUAAGGGGUGCGGCUAGCCCCUACCAAAAGGAAAGGUCAUUCAGUCAUGGAUAAAGUUGACCGUAUACAUGUACGUAUGGACUCCCUUCCCUAUAUAACCGAAUUUACAAAAGCAUUUCCCAAAGUAACCUACCUUCUUUGAUCAUUCCCAAUCUAACCUCAUUUACUGUUUAUAUUCCAAAUUUUCACUUAUUAAAUAUUUUUACAUACUUUUCAUAUGUACAUAUAUUAUUACUAAAAUAUAUAUUUAUAUAUACGUAUACAUAUUAAUUAUUUAAAACUAAAUAUAUUUAAUCAAUUAAAUUAAUAUAAAAAAUUUAAAUUAUCUAUUUGAUCAUUUACAAAAUAAAAUAAUACUAAACAUUUAAUUAAAUAUUUUUUAAAUUAGACAACAAAUAAAAAUUGAAAAUAAAAAAAUCUUAGUUAAAAAAAAGAACAUACUAAUAAUUAAAANNNNNNNNNNNNNNNNNNNNNNNNNNNNNNNNNNNNNNNNNNNNNNNNNNNNNNNNNNNNNNNNNNNNNNNNNNNNNNNNNNNNNNNNNNNNNNNNNNNNUUUUUCCUCAAAUUUUCAUUAGGUAUGAGAAGACCAUAUCUCUCCCACUCGUGUGCUAUUGGAAAUGUCCAAUAAGCUUAAUUGGGUAUUGGAUGAAAUUCAUAUUGCCACAUCUCAUAUAGAGUUGUCAAAUUAUGAUAUGGUUCAAUGUAUUGUUUCCAAUCAAGAUUGCAUGUCAAACAACCAACAACUAUAUGUGAACAUGGAGAGUGAUACAUGUUCCAUUUUCCACAAGUGCAAAUACCCUUAUGCAGAUCUACAGUAUGUUUGUUGCCACCUUUCCAAGAUCCCUUAUUUGUUUUGUAUCGUGCAGUAAUUAUCUCGAAUACACCUCUCUGUUCAUGGUAUGGGAUGAUCUUGUGUGUUGAUGCCUUCCGCUCAAUAUUUUCGAAAAGCUCUCUUGAUUUCUUGCAAUACGUAUGCCCAUUUUGAAUGUCGCUUAAAGUUUGAGUACGUCUUUCCGCAACUAAUUUUACAGAGCGGUAAUAUAUAUACUCCACCAUCGAUGUGAUCGGUAAGAAACGAGCGGAUCUUAAAUUUCCAUUGAAACUUUCGAUCAUAUUUGUUGUUGCCUGACCAUAGCGAUAUCCUCCCUCAUGAGACAUAGUCCACAUAUCUAAUGGAAUAUUCGUAGUCAUUUUUCAGCUUCAGGAUUAAGCUCUUUUAUUUUCAUCAUUGCUGCCUCAAACUUCCUCACUUGAGAAGUAUUUCCAGCCAUCCAACAUAGCAUCUUCAGAUGUAAACCAGGAAAAGUUGAACUAAAAUUGCCGCGAACAUGUAAAAGACAAUAACGAUGUAUACCCAUGUCACCAGUGAAGCCAUUCUGUUCUCUUUUCAUUGCUUCAAUGAUUCCGACAUGACGAUCCGAAAUUAUGCACACACCCUUUCUAGUCCGACAUACAUAUCUUCUAAGGCGACGUAAGAACCAAGACCAGUUGAGGGUCGUUUCUUCAUUAACUAACCCGUAAGCAAGUGGAUAUUGGUGGUUAUUUGAGUCAAAUCCUAUUGCAACCAACAACUUUCCAUUUUACCUUCCUUUCAGAAAUGUGCCAUCAAUACAGAUAAUUGGUCGAGUAUGUUGCCACCCAUCUGCCAUUGGUUUGAAUGCCCACCACACAUGAUUGCAGACUGAUGUGUUGUAUCCUACAGCUUCAGCUUCAAUUGAAGCACUUGUACCUGGAUUAAAGUGUAUCAAAGCACUCAAAAAUUUAGAAAGUUUUGAGUAAGAAUUUGUCCAAUCACCAUACACAUCUGAUAUAGCUUUUUGUUUUUCCAUCCACGCCUUCUUGUAACUAACAUGAUACUUAUACAUUGCUGUGAUUUGCUCCCUGAUGUUACUGACUUUUAUGUAUGAACUUUUCGUGACCUAAAAUAUGAAAAUAUAAAAUAGUAACUAAUAACCCAAUAAAAAAUGAUGAAUUCAUAAGACAAUUAAUUGAUAAUCUUACUUGUUGUUUUAUGGUAUUUGCAAUCAACCUCGAGCUAAGCUUUUUGUGGUCUCUCUGAAUUGUUCUCAAAAGACAAUUGUGUACAGCAGGUAACUUAGUGAUUUCAAAGUAGCCACAUCGUUUCUUUUUUAUAACCCGAAUUCUCCAUGGACAUUCAGCCACGACGCAUUUUGCUUCAAACAAUGUUGUGGUACUCUUCAGGACACGAUAAUUUCUGGAAUCACUUAUGUGACUUGCUUUUAUUGCAUCUAUAACACUUUCUUUAUCUGCAAAACAUUUACCUUCAAAUAGAUCAUCGCUAAGCGGGUUGAAAUUGGGAAAAUCACCUGAAUUAUCAGUGACAUUGUUGUUAGUAAUCUCCUCUGUUGUGAACCAUGGCGCAGUAGGAAUAUGUCCUUCAACAUCAACCCUAGCACUUUCAUGAAUAUUAUCUCUUUCCUCGUUAUCAGUACUUGAUGAAUCGGAGUCAUCCAGAUCGUCAUUAUCUGUUUCACCACUAUCUGUAUCUUGACAAGAGAUGAAAUCAUCAGCACCACUUAGAUUGUAAAUUGCAUUAGAUUUUGCUACUUCAUUGUAUGCAGGUUCAUGUGAAUAACGACUAUUUGAGUUAAAAUCAGCUCUAGGCUCAUUUGUGUAACUGGGACCAACAUUUGUAUAAUUCAGACCAACAUUUGUGUAAGUCGGACCAGCAUUUGUAUAAUGACCUUGCAUAUCUUGAAAUUCAAAUGGAUUAAAAUCUUCAAAACGAUUAUUAUUUUGGGACAUAAAAUUUUCAUAUCCAGAGUAAUUGUGUUGGUUAUCUGAAAAAUUAUCCAUCUGUAAUUAAACAAAACAAAAAUAAAUAUUAGUAAGAAGUACCAAAUACAUAAUAUACAAUAAUAGUAUAUAUUUUUCAAACUUAGAGAUCAGUACGAAACUAACGAACCUGAUUGGUGUGUUUUGAUUGGCUUCAUAGUUCAAAAUAUAUAUAGACAUGAAAAUUUAGAAUAAUAAUUGAACACAAUAAUAUUUUUCAUUUAUUAAAUAGUUGAUUGGACAAUACAAUAUUAAAGCUUGAAAUGACAAAUCGAUAAUAAAGCAAUGUAUUAUUCAGAAAAUUUUUAAAAAUAGACUAUUCGUAAUCUGAAAAAAUGAUAUUUUUACAGAUUAUACUAUUCACUGUGUAUUAGAUUUGACAAUUCAUGAAUAAAUUAUUUUUCUAAUUUAAUUUAAAAUUUUCAUAUAUAUAAAUAUAAGUGUACAAGAUAAUAUUUUAUAAUAUUUAAAAUUAAUUUUUAGAAAUUUAAAUUAUUUAAUAUAAUAUAAUAUAAUAUUUAAAUAAAUAUAUUAUAUUAUAUUAUAUUAUAUAUAUACAAUUAUAUAUUUAUAUGUAAAUAUAUAAAUAUAUACAAAAAAUUUAUGCUGGAAAUAGAAAUAUGAACAAUAAAUGAGGUUAGAUUGGGAAUAAUUGAAAAAGAUAGGUUACUUUGGAAAAUGCAUUUGUAAAGUGGGUCACAUAGGAAAGGGAGUCUGUAAGUAUGUCCAGCCUCCAGGUGUCUUGUUAAGAGAUAGACUUCGAUAGUCCAUCACUCAGCUGAUUUCUCCUGUAAUUUUGCCGAAUAAUGAAAAGCAUAUACCACGUGACCCAUAUCCUAACUAACCAUGGUUAAAUAGUAACAACUCCCCCUCACCAUUCCCAUAUCAAUCCACCGUUGAUUCCCGACACUUGUCUACUUUCAACGGCUAAGAUGCACUUCCACUCCCUAUAUAACUCUCACAUUCAUCACUAAAACCCUACCGCUCUUAUUUGUAUAGUAAGAGAUAGACCAAAAGAAAAGAUCUGAAAAAUGGCAAAUCCCAAGGUUUUCUUCGAUAUGGCCAUCGGCGGUGCACCGGCCGGUCGCAUCGUUAUGGAGCUCUACGCCGACACCACUCCCAAGACGGCCGAGAACUUCCGAGCACUCUGCACCGGUGAGAAGGGAAUCGGCAAGGCCGGAAAGCCCUUACACUACAAGGGAUCGAGUUUCCACCGUGUGAUCCCCCAAUUCAUGUGCCAGGGAGGUGAUUUCACCGCCGGGAACGGCACCGGUGGCGAGUCGAUCUACGGCGCGAAGUUCGCGGACGAGAAUUUCAUCAAGAAGCAUACCGGACCCGGGAUUUUGUCGAUGGCGAAUGCCGGGCCCGGAACCAAUGGAUCGCAGUUCUUCGUCUGUACUGCAAAGACGGAGUGGCUGAACGGGAAGCACGUGGUGUUUGGUCAAGUUAUAGAGGGAUUGGAUGUGGUGAAGGCCAUUGAGAAAGUGGGAUCCAGUUCUGGAAGGACCUCCAAGCCUGUGACGGUUGCUGAUUGUGGCCAGCUCUCUUAGAUCUGAUCUGGAUUGUGAUGAAAGAGAGAUUUGAGCUGUUUUUAUUAUUACCAUGAGUUUGUUCUUUUAUGUUUUCGUUGUGGUGUCUUUAGAUUUGGGGGUUUAAUCUGGUAGUUCUGUAUUGACUUGAGUUGAAAUUGAAUUGCCAUUAAUAAUUUGGUUUGGUUGGUUGUUCCAUUUUAGAUCCUUGGGAAAUUGAAAGAUUAUAUCUUUCAUUUGCUCAUAAAUCAAAUAGUCAAAGUUUUAUGCAGUAUUAAACAUUGUUAAUGCUAAUUAAUCUAUGUUAAAUCUGUGUUUUUUUUUUCUAAUUAAUCUAUGUUAAAUCUGUGUUUUUUUUCUAAUUAAUCUAUGUUAAAUCUGUGUUUUUUUAUAAUUAAUCUAUGUUAAAUCUGUGGCUUUUUUCUUUCAUGCUGCUGAUAACUCAAAUAGUCAACCUUUAUUUUUUGGUUCCAAAAAUCUCAGUACCCUUGUAUAUAUUCUUAACCACAAGAUAAUUCUUCUGAAGGAUCAUUUAUGAAUUUUUAUUAGAAAAGUGUUUAUAAUUUUCUUUUUUAUUAUGUUAUUUUCCUUUUUAUUUGUUCUCAUUAUGGACUCGGUCAAAGGUUGGGUCAUAUGUAAAUUCAAAAUAUGUCUUUGAUUUUUACUGCUGACUUCCUGAUUCAUGCAUUUGCAUUUUUGAUUUGGUAUUUCAGACUUCAUGUAAAAUACCCAAAUUAUUCGAAGUUGUGUUAAAAUCUUUUGAUUUACUCCUGUUUAAAUGGGUUCUCAGGUCACAUAAUUGAAUUAUUUUUUGAUGUACUACUUGAACUUCAAUAACACCUAUAGCAUCAUCAUAACUAGUCAACUCAUUUAUAAUUGUGUUUGAUAAAAUUAAAUAAUUAAGAUUUGAAUGAUUAAUAUAUUUUAAUAAAAUAACAUCUAAAUGAUACUAUUUUAACCCUCUUAGUUAUUUAAAAAUUUUAUUUGAAUAAUUUUAAAAUUUGAAAUUGAAGGAGUACAAUAUUUAUUGAGGUUAUUUUUGUCCAUAAAUUUUAAAUAAAGUAUUAAGAGACAACUCUUAAUAGUUAAGAUUUGAAUCAAGAGUCAAUUUUUUUUUUAAUCAAACAAGAUUUACCUCUGACCGAAUCAAUUUUUCUUUUAAUCAAACAAGAUUUACGAUAAAUUAAAAGACAUUUAAACACAAACAAACACUAAUUGUUUUUUGUAUUAUUAUUACACUCGUAAACUUUUAUUCGUUCAAACCAAACCUACCAAUGUUUCCUUCAAUUACAACUGGUUUUUACUAAUAAUAGUAUUUUAUUCUCUGUCUGUCUUAUGUCACCUCUCCUAUUUUAUGCUAUAUUAAUGUUAUAUAUGUACUUUGUUUUACAACUAAUUUUAUAAAUAAAUAAAUAAAUAAAACUAUUACUAAUAUUUUUAUAAUUAAUUUUGUGAGUGAGUGAGUGAGUGAAUGGCUUCUAGAAAUUCGAUAAAUUUAGGAACUAGCAAGCUACUCCCUCCGUUCCAAAUUAACUUUUCAAUUUUGACUUUUUUAAAUCAAUAACUUCUUCUGAUCCGAUCGGCUCAAUAAUCAACGAUGAGCAUCAACGAACACAACUUAGCCAAAUAUUACGAGAUGUACCCAAUCAUUUUCCCCCUCCGCCCUCCCACUGAAAUGGUACUAGACUUCCCGACAGUACGCCGAUCGAGAAUUGACGCAGCUCUCUCCGUUCACUUCGUCCGGUAGGGUUUCCGAUCUCUCUCUCCAACAUAUAUAUAUAUAUAUAUAUACAUACAUACACACUCAAUAUAUAUAUAUAUAUAUAUAUAUAUAGAGAGAGAGAGAGAGAGAGAGAGAGAAAGAGGGAAAAAAUGGAGGAGGUAUCGGAUAAUACGAGGGGGUUAAUACUAGCAAUGUUAUCGAGCUUAUUCAUAGGAACAAGCUUCAUUCUAAAGAAGAAAGGUCUCAAGCGUGCUGCCUCUGCUGCUGGUCCUAGCGCAGGUCAAAUCUACUAACUAAUUAGAUUUCUCUGUUUUUUUCACUUCAAAUUUCUUCCUAUGCAUUUCACUGUUGAACAAAUUUUGUUCCAUCCAUUUAGAAAGAUCUAAUUUUUUAUGAUUUACUAAGAUUUUCAAAAUCUAGACUGUCAUCACUAAUUUGAUUCGACUCAAUAGAAUUACAGUGUAUGCAUAUAUAUGUUACUAGAUGCUUGCUUGGUUAUUCAUACCUUGUUUUUCUUUAUCCUUUAAUUAGCUAUACAAUUUUCUGCUCCGGUGCAACUACGGAACAGUUGGCAGUGUUAGUUUCUAGCUGAUUAUAAAGUGACUAACCUGAUAAAUAAAUUUUAUGUUCAUGAUGACAUUUGAUGUUUUGUUUUGGAUCUUAUAGUGAGUGAAGCUAAGGAUAAAAGAAUGAGGAUUAAAACAAACAGUAAAGAAAGAAAUGAUUUUGCUUUUUACAUGUGAAUUUAGAGUUAUAUUUGGUCUGGGAUUUAUACAAGUAUGUAUAUUUAGACUUAUGUCUAUCAAGAGCUUAUUGUUUGCUUAUGUGCUGAAAGUUUACAGAUUCAUGAUCAGCAAUUACAUAAUUGAAUUUGAUGUAACAUGUUCCAGCCUAAUAUAUUAAUGAAUACAGAUCUGAUGCUCGGCUCGUGUUUGUUAUACUUUGAACUGAAUGCCUCUCAUCCCUUUGAAUUUGGCCUAUAUGUUACUGUGACACAUUUCAACUGAUAAAUAACAUGUUACCACGAGUUACUGCACAUGCUAACUUAAUUCUUCAUCUCAAUUCAUAAAUAAAAUUUCAAAGGGUAUACAUCUCUCUAUCUUUUGAUUCAAGAUAUAUAGCUCCCUUCGUUAGCUGUGUUUUAAAAGGCUAAACAUACUAAAAAAAGCUUUACCAACUUCCAACCUACAACUAGACUAAAGGAGUUCAACAGCUUCUAGGACAAAGCUGAGCCAAUAUGAUACGCGGCACAUAUAUUUUAUGUGACAUGCUAUCAAGUGUCAUUAUGAAGGCUGGCCUAAAGCUAACUUGACGAACAUAAUGAGCUGAAUCAUGAAGCAUAUUGGAUUUAGAACAAAUCAAAUAAGCAGAAAACGUGGAUGACUAAUGCAGGAGCAGUAAUCCCAUGAAGUACUUUAGCAGUACUGCUCAUGAUUUUAUUCAGUAGGCUACGACUGUAUUUCUUAGGAUUAAUGCACCAGCAUCUGAGAUUUCGAUGGAUUAGCAUUCAAAUAUACAAAAUAUAAAAGCCAAUCCAGCAUCUGCUUAUUAUGUACCUGCUUAAAGUGCUAUUAAGCUAAUAUCACGACAUCACGGCCGACACAAGUUUCCAGAAAUAUAAUGAUCUUGGCUUAGCAAAUGUGACGUCUUACUGCUCAAAUUCACUAUUGGAGGUAUGUGUAACCAAUAAAGUGUCCUUACUCUGAUUUAAAUUGCCUCCAAAUCGCAAAGAUACUUGAUUUUCCUACGGAAAUGGUCUUCAUGUUUGGGGUUGGAUUGGACAGGUUGGUUCUAAAGACGAUUGCCAGUGACUGACCUGUCAUGUAUAGUUAUUGAACCAGCCAUCUGCUGGAGGUAUUAUCAUCCUUAUGAAAUAUUGGACGUACAGAUUGGUGUCUGAUUCUACCACUGAAGGGGCUGACUAUAUGGCUACAAGAUAUGAUAUUUUGUUGUGGCACUCUAGGGGCUAUCAUCAUCACGAUCUAGUUUCUUCCAUUGCGGAAGGAUUUGAAUGUCUCAGAAUUUGUUCUUUCCAAAUUUACUUACCUGUUUUCUUUUCUUCUUUCUGGAAGUUCUCUAUUUUUCUUGAAGUUGCAAAAAAGAAAUAGUGCAUAACUUGUCUCGCUCAAUAAGGUUUGGACUUCAAAUCCUUUUAAUCACCAUGCAUUACACAACCAAUUAAAGUUUGUUUCAUAGCACUGAUACUAAGUAUGAAUUUAGGUGUAAGUUGAUUAUGUUCUUUUUGUUGCUACUAACUUUGUGAAUGACAUGCACCUAAUAAUAUGCUGUACACAAAUGGCAUGCACUUAUUAACACUAAAUUAUCUUAUCGGUAAUGUAGGAGUCGGAGGUUACACUUGCCUACUAGAGCCCCUUUGGUGGACUGGCAUGGUGACAAGUAAGUGAAGGAUAAUUUAUACAAGUUCCUUUGCCCCCUAACCGAUGGGAAAAGGGGACUUUAUUUUUUCUUUGGAAUUUGGGUGAUUAAUGUUGUGUUUUAAAUUUAUGGGCAUCCAGUGAUGAUUGGGGAGGUUGCAAAUUUUGUGGCUUAUGUUUAUGCUCCAGCAGUUCUAGUGACCCCUCUUGGUGCAUUGAGUAUAAUUGUCAGGUAAUAAUUCAGAAUAGUUUAAUGUUAUGAAUUCUGAUGAAAGGAUUUGAAUAAAUUUGUAAGCUAACCUUUGUGAUUAUCUAAAUAGUGCUGUUUUGGCACAUUUUAUGUUGAAGGAACAACUGCAGCGGAUGGGUGUUCUGGGAUGUUUGUCAUGCAUUGUAGGGUCAGUUGUGAUUGUAAUACAUGCACCACAAGAGCACACUCCAAAAUCUGUAGAAGAGAUCUGGACCUUGGCAACUCAACCAGGUUAUGUUUUAAUUCAACCUGUUUUCCAAUUACACAAGAUCCUAUAUUAGUUUGAGAGAUAGUCUUUGUAGUUAUGUUUUUUUUAUAUAUAUAUUUAUAAAUGAAAACUUAAAUGUGUGCUUUUUGUCAACAGCAUUUUUAGUAUAUGUAGCAACUACAUUGUCGGUAGUGCUAGCAUUGGUUUUGUACUUUGAACCUCACUAUGGGCAGACAAACAUACUGAUUUACUUGGGAAUUUGUUCUUUAAUGGGUUCACUUACGGUAAUUUCUCUCCUUCCAAGUAGAGAAGGUGCUUUCUACAUUUUGUUGCUGAAGUCUAAAAAUGUUGUUUAUAUCUAUAUAUAUAUAUAUGUUGUUUACUUCUUCCUAGGAGUUUAGCUUGUGUGUAUUUCUCAUCCUACUUUCAGGUUGUAAGCAUAAAGGCUUUUGGAAUUGCAAUAAAGCUUACUCUUGAGGGGAUAAAUCAAAUUGCAUAUCCUCAGACUUGGUAUUUUGUUACAGUUGCUGCAAUCUGUGUGGUCACACAGUUGAAUUACCUUAAUAAGGUAAAUGUAGUUUAUAUUGUUGUGCGACAACUAAAUGCCCCCCCUUCUUCUCUUUCUCUGUCUCUUUUCACAUUGAUACUCAACUUUUUCCAAAUCCACAUCAUAUUUCGUUAAACCAUGUUUAUUACUUACAUCAAGUAUAUACUUUUUAACUAAGUAGUGUAUUUAAGUUCCCACUAUAUGCUAGUAACUUAGUGGUGUAUCAUAAAUUAUUUCUUCUGUUGUCUCCUUCCUCCCAUAGCCCUGAUGACUAAAAUAGCAAAUUAGAGGAGGUAAUGCAUACUCUCAUCCAGGAAUAAAAAUAACUUACAAGAACAAAUGCAUUUGUUAAGGAGAGAUAAUAAUAUAUUUAUGUGACAGUUCCUGCUUAAAAUUGUGCUAUCAGUGAUUUCCCAGUCCCCAUCUUUGAUUGUGAUCAUCUCUUAUGUUUUGGGAUUUAUAAGACCCUGGUUAGAUUCCAAAGUCCAAAUGCAUGUCCUUUUACAUGUUAAAUCAUAAAAUUCAAUUUCCCUUAUUUAUCUAUGUUUGAUAAUCCCUAAUCAAUUUCCUAAAACAAUUUUUUCUGUUAACUGUGCAUACGAUGCAUAUAUUAGGUUCCUCUAAUUUGUGUUUAUGAUUUAGUGUGUUACUUUCGAGUCUCCAUGCAGUUUUCUGUUACUUUUGCUGGGGUUCUGAUGGUCAGGGUUUACUAAAGAAGAUGAAUCAGUUUUUAACAUUAUUUCAAAAGAUUUUCUAGAUCAGAUUUGAAAACCAGCCGUGACAUUUGUGUUAGAAAAGUAAGGAUAAAGCAUUGGCCCAUUUUUGUGCAUGUAUUAUGCUUUGAGGAACUCGUCAGUGCAUCUCAUGCGUGUUUAGUUUCUUCUGAUACACCUUCCAAAAUUAGCUGCUUUUACUUUCUUAUAUGUUAGUGACAAUUAUCUACAAUACAGGUUUCUUCCCCCAUUCACAUGAUAUUUCUAUUAUUUUGCAUUAAAAAAGAGCUGCUUACUGGUAUUUUUUGCAAGGCCCUGGAUACAUUCAAUGCGGUAAUUGUUUCCCCAAUAUAUUACGUGAUGUUCACUACUCUAACUAUUAUUGCAAGUGCAAUAAUGUUCAAGGUAAAUGGCCCAACCUAUCAGCUUGGAGUUGUCUCCUAUGUCAUAGCAUAAUGCCUGCUAGUAUAAUGAAAUAUGAGCAUAUUGUUUGUUUUUACUAUUUGAUGUGCAGGAUUGGUCAGAUCAGAAUGUUAGCUGCAUAGUGUCUGAGAUUUGUGGAUUCAUCACUGUUCUUUCGGGAACAAUCAUACUUCAUGCGACAAGAGAACAGGAACUAGCUACUACACCAGGUAAAGUAGAAUAAUCUUUAGUUUGCAAUUGACUUAGUUUGACCAUUCAGUUAUUCUGAACAAAAUUUUGAGACACUGAAUAUGACACCCGACUUUAGCUUGAAGUUGUCUGUCACCCUAUUGACCAAAAAGUUGAUGUAGCUCUCUUUUGCUUGGGUCGAUUUUGUUUUUGAUGUAUUCAAUUAUAUAAUGGUUAAUAUAUAUAAGGAAAAUUAGCGGUGGUUCCCAGCAAUAUACAUUUGAACAAAACCUCAAGGGAUGGAUGAAAUGGAACAAAACCUUUAGAUGUUGGUUCCAAUCUCUAUAUUUGGGGCCAAAAUUACCCAUAAAAAAAAAGUACAUUUAAACAUGUGCUCGCAGAUGCUUCUUCUUGGCCGGGAAGUAGCUUUAUACUAGCCAAUAUGCUGUAACAUCCAUACAUUAAACAUUUAGAUAAAUCUAUAUAUUGGAUAUUUAAUGCAGGUACUAUGACAUGGUACCAUGGAGAAUCAAUAAAGAGUAUCGAGGAUGCACAUUUUAUCACUUUGCACAAUUCAGAUUAUUUUGAUUGAUGGAAGUCUUUCCGAAGGCUCUAAGAAGAUGAUUUCCGAUGGUACUCGUCUUUGUCAGCUGAAGGGUGGUCUGUGGAUUAUUUUGGUCCUGCCAAGAUCGUGUUUGCUUGUUCUCUUUCCACCUUGUUUUUAUAUAGCUGCCUGACUAGGGCUUGGGUUUGAAUUGUUUGAUCAUUUCCAUUCCGACCAUGCAUCAAACUAAAACUUACAUAUAUAGGUAUGCAUAUCUGUAUGUUGAGGUUUGUACAUCUAUAUUUAUAUGCCUUUCUGCUUUCAUUUAACAACUUGAAACGCAAAUUUGUGUCAGCAUUGAGCUCGAUAAAUCGAGUUUGUAAUCAUAUAUAUGUUGUUUAUACUUGGUUUGGAAUGUAUUAAUUUUGAUAGGAAAAUUAACGGAUGUGUUUAAGAUAUUAGCAUGGGAGAGAUCAAUUAUAUAAUUUGAACUGUCAUUUGCACUUUUAGAUUUUUUAUUUUUUAUUUUAUUUUGCUGAACAAUAUUUUUUUUUAUGUGGUAGGAAAAGGAAAAUAAAACCUAACUUGAUAAGCCUGUCAUUAUAUGGUUGAAACUUGAUAAGGUUAAACCCUUGGUUGGCAAGGAAGGAAAUAUCAUAUAUAUAUAUAUAUAUAGAGAGAGAGAGAGAGAGAGAGAGAGAGAGAGAGAGAGAGAGAAUAAAGGGGGGGAAGGGGAUGAACUUUCUUUUGGAAUUUUACAAAGAGUUGCAUACUUGCAUUGCAGUAUUAUUUUACUUCUUUGUUUUAGCAACAAAAGAUAAACUUGGGUUGGUGUUUGUUCAGUUCAACCAAAACAUAAUGAAAGAUAAGCUUGGAGGUUGACUUUGGUAGUUUGUUUGGUUCUUACAAGUUUCAACAGCUGUUUUCUUUGUCAUGACUCAUGAUAAAUGUACAUCAUCAGAAAAAAGAAAAAAAGAUUAUGAUUAUGAUUAUUUAUUUAUUAUUUUAUUUUUUUACAACCUAUAUUAUGACAUUUUCAAUCUUAAGAAGUAGAGAAAAAAAAUUAACUGAAGAAUUUUGUACAUGCCAAAAUUAAAACCAUUGUCAAAUGGGAUAAUAAUAAGUCCUUUUUUGCUCCUUAACCAAAAAGGAGUAUUAUUAUUUGAUAUUAAACAUUUAAUUACAUUUGACUGUAACAACAAACAUAAUUCUAAUUCUAAUUCUAAUUCUAAUAUAAAGAUGAAAUAAACUUAUCAACCCUUUUCUUUAUAAUUUCAUACUCAUAAAUUCUCUAUUUUUUAAUAUCUUAAUUUAAAAUUCUUAUUUUUCAAAACUCAGAAUCAUAGAGAAUAACUAAAUAAAGAGAAAUUACAAAAUUUGUCAUAACCUACCUUUAAAACCUAAAAAAAUAAAGAAAAAAGAAAAAAUGAUAAUAAAAAAGAAAGAAAACUUCAACAUAAAACGUUAGUAUAUCAAAAAAUUGAAGUCUAUCCAUCUUCAACCGUCUAUUGCAUCCGAGUCUAAUUACUUUCGGAUCAGGAAAGUCAUCUAAAUUCAAUCCUCACCGUCGGAUCAAAGUCUUAACCGAUCUCUCCGCUUCUAAUAAACGCUAGGCUAAAGCAUAAAACUAUCUAUCUUCUUUCUCUGCUCUGCGCUAUCUUCUACAGAGACUAAACAGAGUUUUUUAGAGAGAGAUAUUUUUACAGGGCAAACAUGGCGGCAACUGUGACGAGUGGGGUAUGGGCUAAAGCAGGCGCUUGGGCUUUGGAUUCCGAACAGCACGAAGAAGAACUCCUUCACCAGCACAACAAGGAUGAAACCACCGCCGCCUCCGCAGGGAUCAACCACUCCGCGGCGGCGCCGCUUGCUGAUUUCCCUUCCCUCUCCAUCGCCGCCUCGACCAAGACCAAGAAAAAGAAGGCCCAGACCUUUUCCCUAUCCGAGUUCAAAACAUACGACCCGUCUAAGGCAAGGGAAGCCAAGCUUACCCACGUAGAUAUGAUGAUGCUCCCCACUGGUCCUCGUGAGAGAACUGCCGAUGAGCUGGAACGGAACAAACUCGGCGGCGGGUUCAGAUCCUACGGUAAUAAUUCCGAUUCAAGCAGGUGGGGUAGUAAUAAUAGUAAUUCUAGGGGUUCUGAUGAGCCGCGGAGGCAGGGAUCGUUUGGGAGGGAUUCAGAUAAGGAAUUUACGCCGUCUCGGGCUGAUGAGACCGAUGAUUGGGGGGCUGGCAAAAAAAGUAGUCUUGGUGGUGGAUUUGAGAGGAGGGAGAGGGGAGAGAGAGGAUGGUUUUUUGAUAAUUCGCAGUCGAGAGCGGAUGACUCGGAUAGUUGGGUGUCUAAUAAGAGUUUUGUUCCAUCUGAAGGCCGGAGAUAUGAAAGGCAGAGAGUGGGAUUUGAAUCGAACGGUGGGGGAGCUGAUUCGGAUAAUUGGGGGAAGAAAAAGGAAGAGGAGGGACGAAAAUUUGGUGCCUUUGAUAGUCUGAGGGAGAGGAGAGGAGGCGGGUUUGAUUCGGGUAAUGGAGGGGGAGCGGGUGCAGAUAAUUGGGGGAAGAAGAGGGAAGAGGUGGGAAGUGGGGGUGUGAGGCCAAAACUUAAUUUGCAGCCAAGGAAGUUGCCAGUUGGAGAAGAACAGCUAGAUGGGAGUGUGACUAAGCCAAAGGGUUCGAACCCGUUUGGAGAUGCAAGGCCUAGGGAGGAGGUUUUGAAGGAAAAGGGACAGGAUUGGAAGGUGGUGGAUGAGAAGCUAGAGUCUUUGAAGUUAAAGGAAAAGGAAGCAGGGCUAACAGAUGUACCUAGUUUUGGGAAUAGGAGUUUCGGUAGCGGAAAUGGCCGGGCCAGCGGGUAUGAUGAUAGGUCAGAUAGGAGCUGGAGGAAGACUGAUGCAGUUGAAAUUCGUCCUCAGAGGUUGGUGAAUUAAAAGGCUUUUGAUUGAUUCAUAGAAUUGACUAGUGCUGUAUUUAGCUAAUAUAAAAUUUGUGUUCAUUUUUCCCUUGUAUAUUUGUUGGAUAAUCAGUUUAUUGUUGAUCUCUGUUUGUCUAACGAUGGAUUAUAUGUUGGUACUGCCUUGAGAAGUUUUUCUUUAGCUUAUAUGAUUGUGGAUACAGGUUUUUGUAUCUGUGUGUUAAAAGGAUUUAGGUUAUGUUUUCUUGCACGGACCACUCAGGCAUUUGAUAUGUAAUCCUGGGAUAGUAUAAUGCACCCAAACGUGGUACUAUCCAUUAUGAUCUUCCAGUGAGUAUAACCCAUGGUAUAUGGGACUUUAUAAUGUUAACUAUAGUCCCUCAAAAAUUAUGUAGGCGUAGUGAGUCGUGGCCCUUAUAAUAGAAAAUGGAAUCUUUUUGUGCAAGUUUAUGAAGCUGGAUCUCUGAGUGAAGGGAAAGUUUUGAACUUUAAAAGUUGGUUUUGGUUGUUAGUCUAUAUAAAAUGCUCUGUUUACAAAGAGCUGUAUUGAGUCCUUUUUCCUAUAAAUAUCUUGUAAUGUUCACUAGUCUUUUGGAAUUGCUAGUUGUUUGAGUUUCACCUCAAUAAAUUGCUUUUUCUUCAAAUAGUUUGAACUCAUCAUAGUCAUAUAUAAAACACCUACAGACGAAAUUAUAUAUUUAUUAAACUUUUAUAGAUAUAAGUAUGUCACUCCCCCUUGAUUUGUGUAGAAAGUGUUAGUCCCCCCUGGCCCAGAUAUAUCUAUUGGGAUUUCAUGUAUUUGUACAUUGGUGGCACCCCCUUGGUGCCUGGCUGAAUAGUAUUUUAUUUUAUUUAAAAAAAAAAAGAUUAUUGAGAGUUGUGUAAAGAUUUACUUUUACUCCAAAAUUAUAUUUCAUUUGACAAAACCCUUGUUUAUGUUUUUCUAAGCAAAGUAAAAUGAUAAUGAAAACCAAGUAACUUGUCAAAAAAAAAAGAAUAAGAGGAGCUUAAUGCAAAUUUUGGAAGGUUUUGUGUUAGGCAUGUGAAUUGCCAGAAGGAUUAAAAAUGAAUUAAGUGUUUGCUAUUAAUUUCUAGAAUUAGCCAUGUUAGCCAUCAGAGUCUGUUAUUUGAUAAUUUGGACUUUUCUUUUGUUUCUUGUUGGCAAAGUCAG
rnacentral:lncRNA from 1 species